CCCAACAUUCCCAAAGGGACGGUUACUUCCAGCACCCAGAGAGCCCCCUGCCAUCUCCCAGUCUCUGUCUUUUCUUCUGCUAUCUAGACUUCCAGAGACAGGAGGGCAGUCGAGGGAAUCUUGAUUCUGACUCAUGUCUAUCUCUUUUGGCUUGAAGGAUUCAGCAUGUCAACAAACCAUACACUUGGGCACCGUGCAGCCCAGACGGCGCUAAUAUGCCCACUGACUGUGUUUCCCCUUUGGAACUAAUAAUACAAGAAUACCUGGGUUGGGUAUAUGAGGCACCUACCACUGUGCCUGGCAACCUGAAUUCUACCCACAUGGUGCCAGGAGAUAAAAGACUCCCAUGCCAGGCUGUACUUCAGAGGGCCACAGGAAGAACCAGGGGGAGUUCAUUAAGGAAACACAUACAGAGGUGAAGGUAGAAUGCUGGAACCCGUGUGCGAUGGUGAGAGGCAGGAAAAAGAGUAUGGAAUACAGAAGGAUGAAGGAAUACUAGGGGCUCAGAGGACAUUGCAGAAGAAGAAACAAAAAGAAUAUAAGUACCAGAGGAUGGAGAGGAGUGCUAUGAACUACACUUGACACAGUUGUGGCACAUAUGAAGUCAAAGAAGCUGUGGUUACCUGCAUAAGGCCUGUAUAAGAUCAAGCCAAUUGAAACUUCCAAUAUGGAUGGGGGAAAAACUCACAAGGCCCCAACCCUAGUUGAGAAGCUAUUGACAGUUAAUUGUUGCUGGAUAAGAGAGUUCAUUUUGUGGUGUAUGGCCCUCGUAGGUGGUCUGUGCCCCAGCAAAUGGCAUGACAUCCAUGCUUAUAUGGACAGUGUUAAUUAAACGCAGUGAAUUGUAAAAUAAAAGAAGAAAAGGAGAAAAAGGAGAUGAAGUUUGAAGUGAGAUGCAUUGGGGGAACCUAGGGGAAACUGGAACAGGAAAUGGAUGGGUAGUGUGCCAGUUUGAAUAGGAAUGGCCCCCAUAAAUCUCAAGUGUUUGAAUGCUUGACCAAUAGGGAGUGGCACUACUAAAAGGUGUGGCCAUGUUGGAGUAGGUAUGGCCUUGUUGGAGAAAGUGUACCACUGUGGUGUCAAACUUUGAGGUCUCAGAUGUUCAAACCAGGCCUAGUGUGGAAGUCUCCUUUUGUCACCUGAGGAUCAAGAUGUAGAACUCUCAGCUCCUUCUCUAGCACCAUGUCUACCUGCAUGCAGCCAUGCUUCCUGCCACGCUGAUAAUGAGCUAAGUCUCUGAGCCUGUAAGCCAGCCCCAUUAAAUACUUUCCUUCAUAUGAGUUGCUGUGGUCAUGGUGUCUUUUCACAGCAAUUAAACCUUAGCUAAGACAGGUGGAUAUGAUCAAGACACAUACGCAUAUAUAAAAUUUUCAAAUAAUAAAAGAAAAUACUAUUAACAAAAAGGAAGGCUGUCUCAAUUUAUGAUUGGCUUAGUUGUGUAACUUUCUCAUUUAACUGUUCAUUUAAUAACCAUUUUUGGUAACGGUGGAGAAAAAUAGCAUGCUAACUUUGUUUCUUUUAUAUUUUUUUAACUUAGUAAUAAGAUGGAUAUUUGCCUCUUGUAUUCUUUUGUUGUUGCUGUUAUUUCUUGUGUUCUCCUCUUUCUCCUCAUCUCUUCCUUCCUCUUAGACAGAGUUUCUCUGUGCUGCCCAGGUUAGCAUCAAACUGGUAAGUCUCCUGGCUUAGCCUCCCAGGUGCUGGGAUUACAAGAGAAUACCACACAGCUAGUCUUCUUUAUUUCCUUUGUAUAGUUUUGCUUAUAUUCUUUGCUUCUUUUUUAUUAUUUGUUCCACUUUAGUUGUCAAACAAUAACUUCACAUGUUUAUGGGACCAAUGUGAUUACAUAACAUCACAGUUAUACAUUGUAGAGUCAUCAAAUUAAUUAACACAUAAUUACAUCUCCAUUGUCAUUCUUUUUGUGAUAAGAAUGCAACAAAAUAAAACAAGGUUAAAGACAUUGCUCAAUGGCAAAGAGUAAAUUCUGCACUUGAGGAGGAACUCUUCAAGCUCCUGAACAUACAUGGUGAAUGAAAAUUUCACACACACACACACACACACACACACACACAUACACACACACACACACACACACGAAACAAACAAUUAAUGGGUUGGGAAGAUGGUUCAGCGAGUAAGAGCGCUAACUGUUCUUCCAGAAGGUUUACAAUUUCUUAUAACCAGUCCCAGGGGAUAUGACACCCUCUUUUGACCUUUGCAGGUACCAGGCAUGUGACACACAGACAAGCAUGCUGACACCCAUACCCAUAAGAUACACAAGUAGAAAAAUUUAAAAACCCUUAAAAAGUUAAAAAUUUACAAAAAUUUGUAAAGCAUUUUUAAGCGUGCACCAUUGCUAGUAUACAGUAUGAUGGAUCACUAAGUCUUUGUCUAAUUUCUAUCAAAAUUUUAAUUUUCCUACUAAAGAAUGAAAGGCAAAUAUACAUUGGAAGCAGAAGCCUGGGGCUUGUCACAGUUAUGAAAAUAUCUUUCUAGUUUAUCAAAAGAUGUCAACUUACUAUAGUUUUAGUAAAGUUUCUCACAUGUAUCUCUAGCUUUUAAAUGACCACAUGCACUUUUAACACUAACACCAAGAUCCACUAAGAAGGCAGAGCAGGAAGAUCUAUGUGAGGUCUUUCUGAAGCCAGCCUGAUCUACAUAGUGAAUUCCAGGUCACCCAGUGUUACACAAUGAGAAUGUCUCAAAAAAAAUUUUACAAGUUUUACAUUUAGUUUCUUAACAGCUCCAGAAUUUAUUUUUAAUAGUCAGCUUCUAGUCUCUUAAUACAUUCUUUUUAUAAUGUUUGCAGUUUUUGUUUUAAAGAUUUAUUUAUUUAUUCAUAAAUUAUUUUAACAGCCAUUGGUGAAGUACUUUAGGUAAAGCUCUCUAUGUCUUUAAUUUUCAUUUUUAAAUUUUUAACCUAUAGUUUUUAUUUAUGUUGUACUGUGUAUACCUCUGAGUUUACGGGCACUGCCACUUGCUUGCAGUGCCCAUGGACACCUGUAGGGGGGCAUACAAUCCUACAGAACCAAAAUUAAAAAUAGUUGCUAACUGCCUGUUGAACAUUCUGGAAACCAAAUCCAGGUCUUCUGCAAGAGGGUCACAAUCCCAGCCGGCUCUCCAACCUGCCUUUCAUUUCUAAACUAAUAAUUGAAGUCAAACUUCUUUCAAAACAUGAAAAAAAAAAUCAAUGGAUUCUUUUUGCUACCUUGGAAUUGCUGGUUCAAAUUUUGGAAAAUGUGUAACCAUAGAUUGCUUCAGAAAAACUUCUGUAGAUGGAAGACCUUUCUGUCUCUGGAGUGUAGAGGUGACAAUGUUUUGCUCUUGGGGGUUUUCUGUGACUGCCUGAAGACCUAGGGCAGGCAGCCAUCCAAGGCCACUUCCUCAGCAUCCUUUUCACAGGGCGGUACCCAGCCACUAUUUUGCCAAGGGGUUAGUGGCUGGAGGAAGGCCCUUUAUCGAAUACUCAAGAGCUUUCUCCUCCUGGAAUGAAGUGAUAAUAGAUUUGUGUAAAAGAGGAAGCAGGGGUGGGGGGAGGAGUGGGUGCAGGAUGACCUAAUGUUUGCUUCUCACUUCUGGCAAGUUUUCAGUGUUUCCACAAGAAAAUAUGGUUAAAAACAUUGUUCACACAAAACCCAGACCACCAACUUGGAGGCAGGUAGAUACCUGAACACUAGCACCGUAGGCUUGCAGUAACAUGAGUGGAAGCAGUCCGUGAGGGGCCAGCCCUUCACCUGUCUUCGUGUUUGUAACUUGGAAUGGCCUCUGAAUGCCAUAGCUCCCUUCCACGGACAUUUUCUAUACUUUCUGUCUCACUCUUUUCUUUAGCAACCUUCCACCCGUCCCCCAUUGGCUGCCACAAUGAUUGGCGGGGUCCAGAGACGGCCAGCCUAGGGUUUUUGUUGUUACGGUUGUUUUGUCUGAAGUCCCAGCGGUGGAAGACUUUGGGCUGUAUGUAAGGAGACCCCAUCAGAUCUCAGCCUGCAAACCCUAAAGCCAGCAGCACAUGUGGGCUUCUCUUGCAUGAAUAAUAAAUUCCCUUCCCUUGUGUUGUGCUUCCUGUGGCUUGUAUCAGAAAAAAUGCCUUAAGGAAUACUGUUUUAUUCAUAUAUACUGUGAUAACUUUUUUCUUUAGAUACCUCAAAUAUUUUAUAAAUGUAAAUUUGAAAAUUAUGAACAGAGAUACUGCAACAAUAAAAUACUAAUAAAUAUAGGAA